UACGGGGGGGGCAAGCGUUGUUCGGAAUUACUGGGCGUAAAGGGCUCGUAGGCGGCCAACUAAGUCGGAUGUGAAAUCCCCAGGCUCAACCUGGGAACUGCAUCCGAUACUGGAUGGCUUGAAUUCGGGAGAGGGAUGCAGAAUUCCAGGUGUAGCGGUGAAAUGCGUAGAUAUCCGGAGGAAUACCGGUGGCGAAGGCGGCAUCCUGGACCGACAUUGACGCUGAGGAGUGAAAGCCAGGGGAGCAAACGGG
rnacentral:rRNA from 1 species